AGAGUUUGAUCCUGGCUCAGAUUGAACGCUGGCGGCAUGCCUUACACAUGCAAGUCGAACGGCAGCACGGGAGCAAUCCUGGUGGCGAGUGGCGAACGGGUGAGUAAUACAUCGGAACGUGCCCAGUUGUGGGGGAUAGCCCGGCGAAAGCCGGAUUAAUACCGCAUACGACCUACGGGUGAAAGCGGGGGAUCGCAAGACCUCGCGCAAUUGGAGCGGCCGAUGGCAGAUUAGCUUGUUGGUGGGGUAAAAGCCUACCAAGGCGACGAUCUGUAGCUGGUCUGAGAGGACGACCAGCCACACUGGGACUGAGACACGGCCCAGACUCCUACGGGAGGCAGCAGUGGAAUUUUGGACAAUGGGCGCAAGCCUGAUCCAGCCUUGCCGCGUGUGGGAAGAAGGCCUUCGGGUUGUAAACCACUUUUGUCAGGGAAGAAACGGUCUGAUCUAAUAAAUCGGACUAAUGACGGUACCUGAAGAAUAAGCACCGGCUAACUACGUGCCAGCAGCCGCGGUAAUACGUAGGGUGCAAGCGUUAAUCGGAAUUACUGGGCGUAAAGCGUGCGCAGGCGGCUAUGCAAGACAGAUGUGAAAUCCCCGGGCUCAACCUGGGAACUGCAUUUGUGACUGCAUGGCUAGAGUACGGCAGAGGGGGAUGGAAUUCCGCGUGUAGCAGUGAAAUGCGUAGAUAUGCGGAGGAACACCGAUGGCGAAGGCAAUCCCCUGGGCCUGUACUGACGCUCAUGCACGAAAGCGUGGGGAGCAAACAGGAUUAGAUACCCUGGUAGUCCACGCCCUAAACGAUGUCAACUGGUUGUUGGACGGCUUGCUGUUCAGUAACGAAGCUAACGCGUGAAGUUGACCGCCUGGGGAGUAUGGCCGCAAGGUUGAAACUCAAAGGAAUUGACGGGGACCCGCACAAGCGGUGGAUGAUGUGGUUUAAUUCGAUGCAACGCGAAAAACCUUACCUACCCUUGACAUGUCUAGAAGUUUCCAGAGAUGGAUUCGUGCUCGAAAGAGAACUAGAACACAGGUGCUGCAUGGCCGUCGUCAGCUCGUGUCGUGAGAUGUUGGGUUAAGUCCCGCAACGAGCGCAACCCUUAUCAUUAGUUGCUACGCAAGGGCACUCUAAUGAGACUGCCGGUGACAGACCGGAGGAAGGUGGGGAUGACGUCAGGUCAUCAUGGCCCUUAUGGGUAGGGCUACACACGUCAUACAAUGGCCGGUACAGAGGGCUGCCAACUCGCGAGAGGGAGCUAAUCUCAGAAAACCGGUCGUAGUCCGGAUCGCAGUCUGCAACUCGACUGCGUGAAGUCGGAAUCGCUAGUAAUCGCGGAUCAGCUUGCCGCGGUGAAUACGUUCCCGGGUCUUGUACACACCGCCCGUCACACCAUGGGAGCGGGUUCUGCCAGAAGUAGUUAGCCUAACCGCAAGGAGGGCGAUUACCACGGCAGGGUUCGUGACUGGGGUGAAGUCGUAACAAGGUA
rnacentral:rRNA from 1 species